CAGCCGCGGUAAUUCCAGCUCCAAUAGCGUAUAUUAAAGUUGUUGCAGUUAGAACGCUCGUAGUCGGAUUUCGGGGCGGGCCGACCGGUCUGCCGAUGGGUAUGCACUGGUCGGCGCGUCCUUCCUUCCGGAGACCGUUCCUACUCUUAACUGAGCGGGGGCGGGAGACGGAUCGUUUACUUUGAAAAAAUCAGAGUGUUUCAAGCAGGCAGCUCGCUCUUGCAUGGAUUAGCAUGGGAUAAUGAAAUAGGACUUUGGUGCUAUUUUGUUGGUUUCGAACACCGAAGUAAUGAUUAAAAGGGACAGUCAGGGGCACUCGUAUUCCGCCGAGAGAGGUGAAAUUCUCAGACCAGCGGAAGACGAACUACUGCGAAAGCAUUUGCCAGGGAUGUUUUCACUGAUCAAGAACGAAAGUUAGGGGAUCGAAGACGAUCAGAUACCGUCGUAGUCUUAACCAUAAACCAUGCCGACUAGGGAUUGGAGGAUGUUCUCUUUAUGACUCCUUCAGCACCUUACGGGAAACUAAAGUCUUUGGGUUCCGGGGGGAGUAUGGUCGCAAGGCUGAAACUUAAAGGAAUUGACGGAAGGGCACCACCAGGUGUGGAGCCUGCGGCUUAAUUUGACUCAACACGGGGAAACUUACCAGGUCCAGACAUUGUGAGGAUUGACAGAUUGAGAGCUCUUUCUUGAUUUAAUGGGUGGUGGUGCAUGGCCGUUCUUAGUUGGUGGAGUGAUUUGUCUGGUUAAUUCCGUUAACGAACGAGACCUUAGCCUGCUAAAUAGUGACGCGAACACUUCGUUCGCGGCCACUUCUUAGAGGGACAACUUGUCUUCAACAAGUGGAAGUUUGAGGCAAUAACAGGUCUGUGA
rnacentral:rRNA from 1 species